rnacentral:ncRNA from 1 species
CGACGUUCUCGGGGCGGGGUGCAAUUCCCCACCGGCGGUUAUAGCCCGCGAGCGGCCUUGCAUUGGCGAGGUGUCAGCAGAUCUGGUGAAAUUCCAGGGCCGACAGUGACAGUCUGGAUGUGAGAGAACGGGA